GCGUACUUUCUAACAAAAGAAUAAGGGUCUUUCUGCUGUUGUUCUUGGUUUGCUUUUUGAAUUGACUAGACGUUACAUUUUCUCACUGAAGCAUAAAUGUUAGUGAUCGCUAGUCACUGCUAAGUACUGUUUCUAAAUACUUGGUAAACUAAGGUUAAAUUUAUAUGCCAUUAACAACCAACAACAGUAAUAUGCCACAUCUGAGUCUCCUUUAUGGGGUGCUGACAGAUAAAGAGAAGAAAAGAGCUCAAGGAAAAGUUAGUGUUCUGGAUGAGACCAUUACCAGCCUCAAUUUCACCAUAGAUCGCCUUGCGCGCAAUGUACAUGCAAAUGUCACGAUGAAGACAGAACUCAACGGUCUUGGGAUAUAUAACUGAGAAGAUUCUUGAACUCCGCCUUAAUUAGGUUCUAGUUCAAUAUUUGAGCUUCUCGCUAUACUAGUUGAGCCUAGGUAGCAGUUAAUUGUAAUUCAACACUUGAGUGUGAUCUAUAUAGUUCGAUACAAAUACAGAUGUUGAAGUUUGAUACUA